rnacentral:rRNA from 1 species
UUAAUUCGAUGCAACGCGAAAAACCUUACCCACCUUUGACAUGUACGGAAUCCUUUAGAGAUAGAGGAGUGCUCGAAAGAGAGCCGUAACACAGGUGCUGCAUGGCUGUCGUCAGCUCGUGUCGUGAGAUGUUGGGUUAAGUCCCGCAACGAGGGGAACCAUUAAAAAAUAGUUGCUACGAAAGGGCACUCUAAUGGGACUGCCGGUGACAAACCGGAGGAAGGUGGGGAUGACGUCAAGUCCUCAUGGCCCUUAUAGGUGGGGCUACACACGUCAUACAAUGGCUGGUACAGAGGGUUGCCAACCCGCGAGGGGGAGCUAAUCCCAUAAAGCCAGUCGUAGUCCGGAUCGCAGUCUGCAACUCGACUGCGUGAAGUCGGAAUCGCUAGUAAUCGCGGAUCAGAAUGUCGCGGUGAAUACGUUCCCGGGUCUUGUACACACCGCCCGUCACACCAUAGGAGCGGGUUCUGCCAGAAGUAGGUAGCCUAACCGUAAGGAGGGCGCUUACCACGGCAGGGUUCGUGACUGGGGUGAAGUCGUAACAAGGUAACC